AACUUUUUGAAUCCAUGGUGAGAUUUCGUCAGACACCAACCCACCAGGAUUAACCAGACUUCCAAGAUAAGUAAAGUU
rnacentral:pre_miRNA from 1 species